GACGAACGCUGGCGGCGUGCUUAACACAUGCAAGUCGAACGAUGAGCCCGGAGCUUGCUCCGGUGGAUUAGUGGCGAACGGGCGAGUAACACGUGAGUAACCUGCCCUUGACUCUGGGAUAACUGCGGGAAACUGUAGCUAAUACCGGAUACGACCCUCGGCGGCAUCGCCAGGGGGUGGAAAGAAUUUCGGUCAAGGAUGGAUUCGCGGCCUAUCAGCUAGUUGGUGAGGUAACGGCUCACCAAGGCGACGACGGGUAGCCGGCCUGAGAGGGUGACCGGCCACACGGGGACUGAGACACGGCCCAGACUCCUACGGGAGGCAGCAGUGGGGAAUAUUGCACAAUGGGCGCAAGCCUGAUGCAGCAACGCCGCGUGAGGGAUGACGGCCUUCGGGUUGUAAACCUCUUUUAGUAGGGAAGAAGCGAAAGUGACGGUACCUGCAGAAAAAGCACCGGCUAACUACGUGCCAGCCGCCGCCGUAA
rnacentral:rRNA from 1 species